GAUGAACGCUGACGGCGUGCCUAAUACAUGCAAGUCGAGCGAACGGACGAGAAGCUUGCUUCUCUGAUGUUAGCGGCGGACGGGUGAGUAACACGUGGAUAACCUGCCUAUAAGACUGGGAUAACUUCGGGAAACCGGAGCUAAUACCGGAUAAUAUUUUGAACCGCAUGGUUCAAAAGUGAAAGACGGUCUUGCUGUCACUUAUAGAUGGAUCCGCGCUGCAUUAGCUAGUUGGUAAGGUAACGGCUUACCAAGGCAACGAUGCAUAGCCGACCUGAGAGGGUGAUCGGCCACACUGGAACUGAGACACGGUCCAGACUCCUACGGGAGGCAGCAGUAGGGAAUCUUCCGCAAUGGGCGAAAGCCUGACGGAGCAACGCCGCGUGAGUGAUGAAGGUCUUCGGAUCGUAAAACUCUGUUAUUAGGGAAGAACAUAUGUGUAAGUAACUGUGCACAUCUUGACGGUACCUAAUCAGAAAGCCACGGCUAACUACGUG
rnacentral:rRNA from 1 species